rnacentral:rRNA from 1 species
UACGUAGGGGGCAAGCGUUGUUCGGAAUUACUGGGCGUAAAGGGCGCGUAGGCGGCCUGCUAAGUCGGCCGUGAAAUCCCUCGGCUCAACCGGGGAACUGCGUCCGAUACUGGUGGGCUCGAAUCCGGGAGAGGGAUGUGGAAUUCCAGGUGUAGCGGUGAAAUGCGUAGAUAUCUGGAGGAACACCGGUGGCGAAGGCGGCAUCCUGGACCGGUAUUGACGCUGAUGCGCGAAAGCCAGGGGAGCAAACGGG